rnacentral:rRNA from 1 species
UACGUAGGGUGCAAGCGUUGUCCGGAAUUAUUGGGCGUAAAGAGCUCGUAGGCGGUCUGUCGCGUCUGCUGUGAAAACUCAGGGCUUAACCCUGAGCUUGCAGUGGGUACGGGCAGACUAGAGUGCGGUAGGGGAGACUGGAAUUCCUGGUGUAGCGGUGAAAUGCGCAGAUAUCAGGAGGAACACCGGUGGGCGAAGGCGGGUCUCUGGGCCGUAACUGACGCUGGAGGAGCGGAAAGCAUCGGGGAGCGAACACGG